rnacentral:lncRNA from 1 species
AUCAAAUAGAUUACGAAAGUGCUAAUGCCGCAAUAAAAGUUUCGUGAACGAUUACAAUAAUUGAUUAAUUUUCCUGAUUAAAAUGAGAUCAAAGACAACAGAAUUCGAAAUACAUUCAUUUGUAAUUUCAAGUAUUACUAUCAUGCAGUAAAGUUUGGAUAUAAACAGAUUUUUCGGAUCCGAGUUUUCAUGUGCAUCGUGCAGCUUCGACACUGAACGACGUUUGCCGAACGCAGAAAAGUAGCGAGCGACGGAAACGUCCGAAUAUAAAAAAAUAUAUCGGUGAAAGAAUCCUAAUGAAAGAAUAAAACUAUUCUGUUUUUUGCUUCUUGUUAUGGAAACUUUUACCAGCAUAGUUAUGACAUUUUCCUAAUUAAAAUGAGACCAAACACAACGUAAUUCAGAACACAUUCGUAGAUUCAAACAUUUUCUUUACACCAAUGUCUUAACUGUAGUAAUUUGGCGGUAAAAGGACGAAUAGUGACACGUCGGAUAACUUCGUUUCCCUUCGGUGUUAUUCGGAUAAUCACGUGAUACAUCUAACCGUCAAAAUCGUAAACUGCUAUGAAGCGUCUAAAUGCGAUUGAAAAAAAGUGAUUAAAGAUUCAAGAUUAUUAUAAUUCUAAUAAAGAUUCGAAAUAAGUGAAUCUCUCGACUCUAAACUUCUGCCAAUAUCAUGCAGUUCUGACAAUGAACGAAGUUUACCGAGCGUAGAAAAGUAGCAAGCGACAAAAACGUUCGAACGACAGAACGUAAGCAAACAGCAACAAAAAAUGGACUUCUCCCAUUUUCAAAAUAAACAGCUCGGAUACUGUAUAUAAAAGAUACAAACGAAUGGCUUUGUAAUCAGGGUGUGUGCAAUUCCACGCUCGGUGGCUUUAAUGGGCGAGGCUCCAGUAGCUUCCUACACUCGCAUAACGUAGAACAAUAUCCCACGGUUUCCUAAAUGCGUGUCUGGCCGCGUGAAUGCGUGGCUGUGCCACUAAUUUGGCUAAUUUCACGCAUGUGGGCUCAUUCUUCGGAUACACUUUCAUCUCGCGUGAGUACGGCUCUCAAAGGAUCAUCGUUACCCGUCCCGUAAUUCUGCCGAGGAACGCGAAACGGCGGCACGUUCCCACGACAGCUUCUUUCUAUUCUUCUCAUAUGCAUCAAUGUUACUGGGUGAUUGUUAAAUUUUUUAUGUCUGCACUGCUUUCUUCUCAACGAAAUCUUCCCUUUAUUAUACUUGUGAUCAGAUGAAAUUGGUAAAUUCUCAGAAAAAUCCUAUCUGAGUAUAUAGAGUCAUGUACGGGCCCUAACUAUAUCUAUAUAUCUGGAAAUCACUGUAUUUGAACAUCGAUGGACAGAAAAAUUUUGAGAUCGCUACUGUGUCCUAACCACGUGUGUACGGUCCCUCUCUGAUGAAAGAGGGAUGCUGUACACUUUUUUUGCGGCCCGCUUUCUUGUAUCGUAUAAUAGCACGGCUUGCGUUACAUCCGUGUCGUGUUACCCACAUGCCUUACAGGCCUAUUCAAAAAUCGCUACGGACCAUCGAUGACGACUCGAACAGACAACCCUAUCGCCUCGAGAAUAUCCUAUUUCAUCGACAGAUUCUGUGCAACGGCAUCUUCGAUACUUUGUCGCAACUGAAACAUCCGUGAACACGCAAGAUCCAGUGAUUCAAAUUAUAUCUGGUCGAAUCGCGUUAAACUAAACCGCAGCUUAUUAUAUCUACAUCAGCUCGUAUAAAUUGAUCCUCGAUGCUUCUACAAAUUAAUCUUCGAUGCUCGUUUAUAAUUGAAUUAAAGAUGGCAUCAAUCGAAUCAUGCUGUGCUAAUAUUAACUCCUAUAGCUUCAGUCUACAAGUUUGUUCCAUUUCGAAUAUAAUAUGUAUUAGGAAACUUGCAAUUUCUAGACCGUUUGAUGCUCAGCAAGGGGUAAUGGCGGUGCUUUGAUCGUACCAAUGAAACGUAAGCCGAAUGUCCUAAUGUUCAAACGAGUCUGGUAAUUAACAAUUAAGUGGGAAUUUCGUUAAUAAUAUUUCUGCUUAUUUUUAACGUUCAAACUAAUCAAAAUGUAACAGCAAAAUGUGUUAGUUUUACAUAGAUAUAAUUAUAAGUUUUUAUGAUUUCUUAUAUCACGUGAAAA